AGAGUUUGAUCCUGGCUCAGGACGAACGCUGGCGGCGCGCUUAACACAUGCAAGUCGAGCGACGAAAGGUCCUUCGGGACCCUGAAAGCGGCGAACGGGUGAGUAACACGUGGGUAACCCACCCUCGGUUUCGGGAUAGCCCGGGGAAACCCGGAUUAAUACCGAAUAGCCUCUCCGGUCUUCGGGCUGGUGAGAAAAGGUAGCUUCGGCCUCCGACCGAGGACGGGCCCGCGGCCGAUUAGCUUGUUGGUGGGGUAAAGGCCCACCAAGGCGACGAUCGGUAGCUGGUCUGAGAGGACGAUCAGCCACACUGGGACUGAGACACGGCCCAGACUCCUACGGGAGGCAGCAGUGGGGAAUCUUGCGCAAUGGGCGAAAGCCUGACGCAGCGACGCCGCGUGCGGGAAGAAGGCCUUAGGGUUGUAAACCGCUUUCAGGGGGGACGAAGCCACUCGGGUUAACAGCCCAGAGGGUGACGGUACCUCCAGAAGAAGCCCCGGCUAACUACGUGCCAGCAGCCGCGGUA
rnacentral:rRNA from 1 species